rnacentral:lncRNA from 1 species
AACACUUGAAUUUUCAUAUCACACCAUCAAAUUUACUGAAAUAGUACAGUGAAAAUUCUGAUAUUUUUGUAUGUUAUAUGUUAAACAAUAAAAUUAAUUAAAAUAAUAAACCCAAAUUUUCAAUACAAGUUCAUUUUUUUUAAGGGGCUUUUCGAUCUAGGUCCAAAAACAUAGGUAGUUUUUGAACUAAGUCCAGUUAUCCAAUUACAUAUUUUUAUACCAAUUUUUCCCUUUUAAAUAAAAAUAUUUAAAUUCUUUAAUUUUUGUAUCAUUUAUUCAGUUUUUAAUUUUGAAUAUUUAAAUACUCAAACUAAAAUAUUAUCUAGUAAUCACCUAAUGAUGUUUACCUACAAAACCGAUAUAAUUUAGUAACUACCUAUUGUAUAGGAAGAAAAAUACUUUAUACCAACAAAACAAAUGUAAUCUACCUGCAAAACAAAAAUAAACUACCUAUUGUAUAGGAAGAAAAAUGCUUUAUACCUACAAAACAGAUAUAAUCUACCAACAAAAUAAAAAUAAACUACCUAUUGUAUAGGAAGAAAAAUGAUGAACCUCCAUGGCAGAACAUUUGAAUAGAAAUAUGGUAUAAUAUACCUCCAUUAAAGGAACAAAUACUAAACAAACAAAAAAAGGAACAAAUACUAAGCUUUAGUUUACCUUUAUGAUACGCACAAAAAUAUAAUAGAGCAAAUAUAAAUGCAUGAUACUGUAUUAUUGCUUGCAAUUGAUAAUGUAUUGUCGAACGAAUAUGUAAAAAAAUUGUGAAAGCUAUGUAAAAACUGAAAUUGUCAUGAAGGAAUUUGGAGAGAGGAACACAAAAUAUCACCCAUGAAAGAUGAGAGAAGAAAGAGGAGGAUUGAUUCCAUGAUCUAACAAAGGGAAUUGUUUAGAAGAAGGAAAAAAAAAGGAGGGAUGAAACGGACUGGGGGUUGAGAUUUUAUUGCUAUAACUAAUCCUACAAUUAAGGGAUUAGUUAAACCACAAAUAAUCAUAUAAUUAAGAAAUUUUGAAUGUUUACUACAAUUUAUAAGUCUAAGGGAUAAAUAUGGUACAAAUUAUAAAUAAGCUUACGUGGAAUAUCAAUUAUUGGACAUAUUUCAAUGCAGUGGACUAAUUCUAGUAAUGGCUCACAAAAUUGGAUCUAUAUCAAAUUAUCCCUUUUUUUAAGUGUAAAUCAGCACUUAUUCAUACAAUAUAUAUAAUUAAUU